AUCAAUCAAAUCUCAGGCAGUAGCUUGAAGAGCAGAAGAUAAGUUAUUUCUACAAAGUCACAUUACUCGGCUUGAAGUGCUAGAAUAAAAUGAUCUACUUGAAGGUGGAGGGGGAGUAAGAUCACUAGAAAGCAGAUUGCUGCCAGACAACCACAGGACCCUAGAGGAAUUAAAGCAUGCUGUGACAUGGGCCUGGUGACACAUCUGCUUCCAGCUGCCUGACUGAAUACUGGGGCAUUCAGUGGUACUUUAUCUGACAUUACAGCAAGUGUCCUUAUCUUUGUCUCGUAGCCAUUUAACAUGUCAACAUGUAUUUUAUGUAACCAUUCAUUCAUACAAACUUCUACGGACACAAUAACUGACUUAUAUUCACUUGUCUAAUUGUCCUAUUCUUCAGGCUUGUCUGGAAUAUAUAUACAUAGUGUAGUUGGCACACCUGUGUGAUGUCUUAUAUGCAUGAAUAAAA